CAGUCGCCGCGGUAAUACGUAGGUGGCAAGCGUUGUCCGGAAUUAUUGGGCGUAAAGGGUGCGUAGGCGGGUCUUUAAGUCAGGGGUGAAAUCCUGGAGCUCAACUCCAGAACUGCCUUUGAUACUGAAGAUCUUGAGUUCGGGGGAGGUGAGUGGAACUGCGAGUGUAGAGGUGAAAUUCGUAGAUAUUCGCAAGAGCACCAGUGGCGAAGGCGGCUCACUGGCCCGAUACUGACGCUGAGGCACGAAAGCGUGGGGAGCAAACAGGAUUAGAUACCCCCGUAGUCCCUGUCUCUUAUAU
rnacentral:rRNA from 1 species